rnacentral:tRNA from 1 species
GCCGCAUUCGACUACUGGCUAGGUCAGUUGCUUCUCAGGCAACAGGAAGGAGAUCGAUACUCCUAUGCGGUAC